UGGGGAAUAUUGGACAAUGGGCGCAAGCCUGAUCCAGCAAUGCCGCGUGAGUGAUGAAGGCCUUAGGGUUGUAAAGCUCUUUCGCACGCGACGAUGAUGACGGUAGCGUGAGAAGAAGCCCCGGCUAACUUCGUGCCAGCAGCCGCGGUAAUACGAAGGGGGCUAGCGUUGUUCGGAAUUACUGGGCGGUAAAGGGCGCGUAGGCGGCCUGUUUAGUCAGAAGUGAAAGCCCCGGGCUCACCUGGGAAUAGCUUUUGAUACUGGCAGGCUUGAGUUCCGGAGAGGAUGGUGGAAUUCCCAGUGUAGAGGUGAAAUUCGUAGAUAUUGGGAAGAACACCGGUGGCGAAGGCGGCCAUCUGGACGGACACUGACGCUGAGGCGCGAAAGCGUGGGGAGCAAACAGGAUUAGAUACCCUGGUAGUCCACGCCCGUAAACGAUGAAUGCUAGAACNUCGGGGUUGGCAUGCACUUUCGGUGUCGCCGCUAAACGCAUUAAGCAUUUCCGCCUGGGGGAGUACGGCCGCAAGGUUAAAACUU
rnacentral:rRNA from 1 species